rnacentral:rRNA from 1 species
GACGAACGCUGGCGGCGUGCUUAACACAUGCAAGUCGAACGGAAAGGCCCUGCUUUUGUGGGGUGCUCGAGUGGCGAACGGGUGAGUAACACGUGAGUAACCUGCCCUUGACUUUGGGAUAACUUCAGGAAACUGGGGCUAAUACCGGAUAGGAGCUCCUGCUGCAUGGUGGGGGUUGGAAAGUUUCGGCGGUUGGGGAUGGACUCGCGGCUUAUCAGCUUGUUGGUGGGGUAGUGGCUUACCAAGGCUUUGACGGGUAGCCGGCCUGAGAGGGUGACCGGGGACAUGGGCACUGAGCUGCGGGGCGGAGCCAUCCGGGAGGCAGCCGUGCGGAGUGGUGCACGAUGGCCGGGAGGCUGCUGCGGGGACGCCGCGUUGCGGAUGGGGGACUUCGGGUGAUAGACAGCUAUCCACCGGGGUGAAACGGGCGUGACGGUAGUGGGAAAAGAAGCACCGGCUAACUACGUG